rnacentral:rRNA from 1 species
UACAGAGGUCUCAAGCGUUGUUCGGAUUCAUUGGGCGUAAAGGGUGCGUAGGCGGCGCGGUAAGUCGGGUGUGAAAUCUUGGAGCUUAACUCCGAAACUGCAUUCGAUACUGCCGUGCUUGAGGACUGGAGAGGAGACUGGAAUUUACGGUGUAGCGGUGAAAUGCGUAGAUAUCAAGAGGAACACCUGCGGCGAAGGCGGGUUGCUGGGCUGACACUGACGCUGAUGCGCGAAAGCCAGGGGAGCGAACGGG